CUUCCCUCGAGUGGUGGAUAACCUUCCGAAAGGGAGGCUAAUGCAGCAUGAGACCACGGGAGCGAAAGCUUCUGAGGUCAAGGUCGGCCUCUAUACAUAAGCUGGCGCUCGGGGAUGAGCCUGCGGCCCAUCAGGUAGUUGGUAGGGUAAUGGCCUACCAAGCCGAAGACGGGUAGCUGGUCUGAGAGGAUGAUCAGCCACACUGGAACUGAGACACGGUCCAGACUCCUACGGGAGGCAGCAGUGGGGAAUCUUGCGCAAUGGGCGAAAGCCUGACGCAGCGACGCCGCGUGAGUGAUGAAGGCCUUCGGGUUGUAAAGCUCUGUGGGGAGAGACGAAUAAGCCUUGGCUAAUAUCCAGGGUGAUGACGGUAUCUCCUUAGCAAGCACCGGCUAACUCUGUGCCAGCAGCCGCGGUAAGACAGAGGGUGCAGACGUUGUUCGGAAUUACUGGG
rnacentral:rRNA from 1 species